CCCAGGUCAGGUACGUGGGUUUGGUGGGAAAUGACCCCCAGGUCAGGUAGGUGGGUUGGGUGGGUGGAAAAUGACCCCAGGUCAGGUAGUCGGGAUGGGUGGGAACAACCCCAGGUCAGGUAGGUGGGUUGGGUGGGUGGAAAAUGACCCCAGGUCAGGUAGGUGGGUUGGGUGGGUGGAAAAUGACCCCAGGUCAGGUAGUCGGGUUGGGUGGGAACAACCCCAGGUCAGGUAGUCGGGUUGGGUGGGAACAACCCCAGGUCAGGUAGUCGGGUUG